UACGUAGGGUCCGAGCGUUGUCCGGAAUUAUCGGGCGUAAAGGGCUCGUAGGCGGUUCGUCACGUCGGGAGUGAAAACUCGGGGCUUAACCCCGAGCCUGCUUCCGAUACGGGCAGACUAGAGGUAGGCAGGGGAGAGCGGAACUCCUGGUGUAGCGGUGGAAUGCGCAGAUAUCAGGAAGAACACCGGUGGCGAAGGCGGCUCUCUGGGCCUUACCUGACGCUGAGGAGCGAAAGCGUGGGUAGCGAACAGG
rnacentral:rRNA from 1 species